AGUGAACGCUGGCGGUAGGCCUAACACAUGCAAGUCGAACGGCAGCACAGUAAGAGCUUGCUCUUACGGGUGGCGAGUGGCGGACGGGUGAGGAAUACAUCGGAAUCUACUUUUUCGUGGGGGAUAAAGUAGGGAAACUUACGCUAAUACCGCAUACGCCCUACGGGUGAAAGCAGGGGAUCUUCGGACCUUGCGCGAUUGAAUGAGCCGAUGUCGGAUUAGCUAGUUGGCGGGGUAAAGGCCCACCAAGGCGACGAUCCGUAGCUGGUCUGAGAGGAUGAUCAGCCACACUGGAACUGGGACACGGUCCCUACUCCUACGGGAGGCAGCAGUGGGGAAUAUUGGGCAAUGGGCGCAAGCCUGAUCCAGCCAUACCGCGUGGGUGAAGAAGGCCUUCGGGUUGUGAAGCCCUUUUGUUGGGAGAGAAAAGCAGCAGGUUAAUACCCCGCUGUUCUGACGGUACCCGAAGAAUAAGCACCGGCUAACUUCGUG
rnacentral:rRNA from 1 species